rnacentral:rRNA from 1 species
GACGAACGCUGGCGGCGUGCUUAACACAUGCAAGUCGAACGAAGAGCGAUGGUAGCUUGCUUCUAUCAAUCUUAGUGGCGAACGGGUGAGUAACGCGUAAUCAACCUGCCCUUCAGAGGGGGACAACAGUUGGAAACGACUGCUAAUACCGCAUACGAUCUAACCUCGGCAUCGAGGAUAGAUGAAAGGUGGCCUCUACAUGUAAGCUAUCACUGAAGGAGGGGAUUGCGUCUGAUUAGCUAGUUGGAGGGGUAACGGCCCACCAAGGCGAUGAUCAGUAGCCGGUCUGAGAGGAUGAACGGCCACAUUGGGACUGAGACACGGCCCAGACUCCUACGGGAGGCAGCAGUGGGGAAUCUUCCGCAAUGGACGAAAGUCUGACGGAGCAACGCCGCGUGAGUGAUGACGGCCUUCGGGUUGUAAAGCUCUGUUAAUCGGGACGAAAGGCCUUCUUGCGAAUAGUGAGAAGGAUUGACGGUACCGGAAUAGAAAGCCACGGCUAACUACGUG